ensembl:lncRNA
GUGGGUGUUAUGCUGAGAAAGGUACAUGCAACGGAAGAAGAACAGAGGCUGCACCAAGCUGGGAGAAACUGCAAGCACAUGGGAAGACGGGAUACACUAAUUCCAGAGUCAUCGUUGUGAUCCUUUGUUGAACUCACUCCUGUAUGUUCAUGGUCUCACCAGUGCUGAGUAAAGGGGAAGGAUCAUAUAUCUGAUCACUGGUUCCUCCUAACUUUGCUUCCUUCAGGUAAGGCAACUUCAUUUCAGUUCUCUCUUAUUUCAGGCUUUGCAGUUUUUCUUUUUCUUUAGAAAGCUGAAGGUCUGGUGGCUGCCUGAUCUGGUGGUUGGCAACCCUGCACAUAGAAGGGGGGUUGAAACUAGAUGAUCACUGUGGUCCUUUUCAACCCAGGCCAUUGCAUGAUUCUAUGAAAAAUAUAGUCCUAUGUAAGUGUCAGUGGAAGGAAGAACAUAGUGGGAGGAGAAGCCUCCCCACACUACAACAAAAUCCUAAUCCUGGAGAAAAAAAAUAAUCUAUUUUUGUAGCUGAUGGUGUAUUUCAAGGAUGCCAAGAUUUAGGGAAUUCUUCUCCUGACUUUAAACUGUUUAAUUUUUAUUUGUUCUAAAGGUUAAAAAGUGAUUGAAGGAUAAUGAAAAUAAGUGCUGAAGUAAAAACUCAUUUUUUUUUCUUUUCUUUUGUUUUGUUUUUAACAGAAAAUGUCAGAAUGUUUUAAAAUCAGAAAUAAUUUUAGAGAACAAGAAAAAAAUAUUUUAAUGACAUUUUAAAAAGACUGUUUCCUUUUCACAUCAGUAAAUAUAUAUCACUGGAUUGAGAAUCUGAUUCACUUCGGAUUAUGUUAUUUUGGGGUUGUCAGUUACUCCUUGCCAAAGAAAGGUGGAUGUAUGUUGGAAAUACUGAAAUAGUAUUUGAUAACAAAUGUACUUUAAUGAAGAGGUGCCUUGGAUCCUUUUAGUUGUGUGUCUUCUUACCUUAAUACUAGUAAUUAGAAGAUUAAGGAACUGAACUCAAGGCUUCACAGCUUGAAAACAAAAAUAUGAAUUUAAUAUAUGUACUUGUUAUAAUCAAAAUGUGAUCUUGUUAAUAUAGAUGAAAGGACAGAGAAAGAAAAGCAAAUUGAUGCCUUGACAAUGUAAGAGCAUGAAAUUAAAUUUAUUAAAAGAGCAAUCAGACAAUAGUCUUCCUCUGCAUGUCAUUUUAUGUCCGUAAUUAUAUACUUCCUUUCUCUGAAUGAGUUUAUGAUGCUUUUGGGGAGAUGGUCAUCUGAUACACGCUAGAACUGUUACCAUUUUACAGAUGAGAGUGGAGUCAUGGAGUAAAUACAGUGGCCUACAUUCUGUGAAGAAUUUGCUAUAACCUCACCUUUGCUGAAUGUUUAUCAAUUUUCCCAGCUGCAAGUCAUCUUUUGUUUCAAGAAAAAAGAAAUUGUUUAUUUCCAGGAAGAGAAAAAAAUGUCAUUGUCAAGAAUAUGAGGAAAAAGGCACUCCUUCAUUUCUAUAAAAAUAGAUAUACUCGCUAUGAUUAACUGAUCUUUGAACUUUUCUGUUUGUUUGUUCAUUUUUUUAACCCAAACUAUUUUCACAUCUAAAUGUGGUCUUAUUUAAAAUUUAUUGAAAUAUGAGGGCUUAUUUUUUCAGUGAACGAGAAGAGUAAACAGGGUCUGGUCCUUAGAAAUUGCUUUCUCCCAAGAGAUAAAAUGAGCUCAUGCUUUCAUGAUGAAUUGUAAUCCUUGAGGUAUACUGUUCUGUUCUGUUGAGUGACUUCUGAUUUCUUUAGUUUGGUCUCUUAAUCUGUUUUUUUGUUUUUGUUUUUUUUUUUUUUUUAACUGAAUAUUGAUUUCAGUUCACUGCUUUACUGGAAGUACUGUACCAAAGAUUAUCUUUCGACAGUCUCCAAGCAUGAGAUGCUUAGUAGAAGUCCCUCGUCUUACUAGAGGUUUAUAUUCUUAGAGCAGGUUUUUUCUCUUAAUACGUAGGCUAGUGCUAUGAACAGUUGUAUCUACAAAUACUUUAAUACUUUCUUAACUUUUUAGAUAACUGUCAGCAAUGAUAGUUAAGCUCAGAUGAUAAUUUCUUUAUCUUCACAUUUUCCUUCAUAUUUUUAUUUGAGUUUUUAUUAAGACGAUUUUUAUUAGGAUAGUUUUGGAAAAGAUUUUAAUGCAUUUCUUGCUUGAAAUCCAGUGGGAAAUUGUUUUUUUUUUUUUUUUUUUUUCUUCAGAAUAAAGUGAGGGCAGUGGACAGUGAAAAAUUAAUUAGGUAGAUUCAGCUAAGUAAUCAGGCAGACUGAUGAGUGAUUAAACAAUAAGUGUCUAAGAAAGUUUUUUAAUUAUAACAAGGUAUUUCGUUAAUCCUGGGUAAAUGAAAUUAAUUUUAACUUCUUUCAUGUCAUAUUUCUCUCUGACGUCAUAUUUCAGAUUUGUGUUAGAGUGACUUUAUAAUGACAAGUCCUAGACUGGGACUCUACUCAACAUCUCUAAAUCAAAAGAGGAGAGAUAAGAACUUGAAGUAGCUGUGAGGAAGAAAAGAUCCACUCACUGGAGAAUGAAGGUGUUUGAUGUGGAUUUUGCUACCUAAAUCUAAUUGUGAUCUUCAAAACUUGUAACUAAUUUGCCAGGUUAUGUCUACAUGGCAGAAUGCAGUACUGCAGGAUGUCUGAGCUAUCUGUGAAUGAAUUAAUGCCAGGACUAGAAGAAAUAUGUGUGCAGUUCAGCACUUUUCUUUAUCUAAUGUAGAGUAGACUUGAAUAAUUUACAUCAGUCUACACAGCUUUGCAUUGUGCCAUGUCCACAGGUGCCUAGCACUGUUUUUAUGUAUGCCACUGCCAGUCUUAGUAUGGCAAAUGAUCUUAAUGCUUUAGGAUCCAAGAGUAUGCUUUAGGGUCUGACCUUGCCCCUGAGCAGGGGAAAAUCAGGAUUGACACUCUUCUAGGAGUGUUUUUCACUGUGUUUAUAGAAAAGGUUGUCACUGGGUUUCCUGUACCACAAUUUGAUGCAAAGAUACUUCUCUCUGGCUCUCAAGUGCUUUUGACAAUCCUUUAUUUUGGCCGUGUAGGCAUGAAGGCUGGGAUCUGUGAGCUGCAACUUUUCCAUUGCUGAACUGUCAAGAUUGAAGGAAACAGUACAACUGAAGGGACAUCAUUGUGAGACAGAAUUUCUGAGAACAUUGCCCAGAUUGUAGGUUUCUAUGUCUACCACAUGGGCAUCUGAAUCACAGAAACAGACAAGAUUAGACACAUUAAUUGUCAUAUCUGGCUCUCUGCUCAACCUGGGAGCUAAUAAAAAUGCUGUAGAGAAGUAAUUUAUAAUUAGAAGACAGUGGGAGUGUGAUAACAUCCUCACUAUUAUUACUCUGAGUAUGUAGUCUGCAUUUCUGGAUGUGCAUGCAGCUUUGUCAUUAUCCUUAUUUUCAUUUAGAAAAUUUUGUUAGAGCAGAUUUGGGGAUUUUCAGCCUUGCUUGAAGUAUUUGCAAGUCUGCACAGAGCAAGUGUUGCAGCAACCAGACAGAGGUGAAUUGAGAAAUUUCAGUGCAUUUAUUUGUCAGGAUGAAUGAGUCCAGUAAGGAAGAGAAAAGAAGCUGGUCACACAUGAAGAAGGAUGGACAUACAUGUUAACAAAUCUUCGGCACACCUGCUGUGUAUUAUGUCUUUGGCAAGAAUUUCUUUUCUAGAAAUCCUAGGAGUUUUGUGCAAAAAGAUGUCAAAUGCCUCUGAUACCUGUGCUGAAAGACCUUAGAAGACGCUAAGUCAGAGUAAAUGUAGUCAGUUUGGCCUAUAAGCUUCUUCUUGUGUCAGAGACUGAACUCUGGUAACAAUUGCAACUGCACAGUACUAAGUCUCCAUGACAAUGCAACUGCCUUAAAAACCUUUAAAAAAACUAGUAGCUUAUUAAGCAAAAAUACAAAUUUAUUGGGAAUGAAUAAAAUACACUUAACAUCCUUGAAAAUUCAGCUGCUAAAAAUAAAUAAAUGUUAAAAAAAAAAAAAUAGAACACCUAAGGGUUGAUUCAGAAUUCAUGCAGAAUCCUGAAUUGAUUUGAUCAAAGAAAUAGCAGUUACUCUUCCUUCUCACAGACCUCCUCCUCCAUAGAAUGAAUGCAAAGAAUGAAUAGAAAAAUUGUCUUCUCUAAUUUGAACUUGAUAAAGCCUUGACAGAUCCAUCUGUUUCAUUCUUUGUGGGAGAUAAUACAUGGUAGUAAUUCUAACUUCAUUUAUCAUCAAAAAACAGGUGAUCUGAGCUCUACAUCAUAUAAUACAAUACACAAAAGAAUUCUACAUAUAUUGUCCUUCCUGCUCUUUGUUACUGUUUCUAUCUUUCUGGAAUUUCACAAAUCAGCAUUUCUUUCCUUCUUCUGCCACUUAUUUGAUAAUUUCUUUGUCAUGUUAGAGUUCAUUUUCUUUAGCUUGUUUGCUUUUGUGUUUUUUUCAUUUGUUUAUUUGUUUGUUUAUAUGUUUUUACAUUUCCAGUAUAAACUUCAAAUGCUUUUAAACUGUCACUUUAGUGUGGCUGUCUCUAUUAAAACCAGACAAAUGUCACCAGGUUGAGAUAUAUCUAUUGUAGGAACUGGGAUUUUAUAUGAUUACAUGAAUUCUCACUUGAAAAGGAAUAAUUCUAGUUUCAAUGUUUCAUAUUUAUUAGUACCACAGGCAAAACUGAAUGUCUGUAUUGUAAAGCAGGAUAUGCAUCAGGAAGUAAUCUUUCCCAGCAUCAGAUAAAUAUUUGUUAUUUUAGAUUAAAAUAAUUUUUUAAGAUCUUUUGCAAUUAAUUCUCAAGUCAGGACUCUUCUGAGUCUUUACUCUUUGAGUAAAAUAGUUGGAUUUGUUUUGUGGUUGAGUGGUUGUGGGUUUUGUUUUGUUUCUUUUUCACCAGUUUUCUGACUGGGAAUGGACAUUACAGUAAGGAACUGAAGCAAAUGAUUUCUUUCAGCUCAGUCCCAAAGCUUAUUGCAUUAGGAAAGAAAAAAU